CUGCAGUUGGCAGGCUGCUGCGGGAGGCGGUGGCGGUGAGAAGCCGGAGGCAGCGGGGUGACAGGAAAGUGGAGAGCCUCAAAAAUCUAUUGUAAGAGCGCUGGAAAAUAUUUAAGUCUCAACAAAUGAAUUCCACACUUGAAUUCUGCCGCAUUCCUGUGCCACCUCCUCCUUUAGAAAACUGAUCUUAGAACAGAGGUAAAAUUAUGGAAUUUAACUUU
rnacentral:lncRNA from 1 species